rfam:Myotis brandtii contig151984, whole genome shotgun sequence.
GGCAGUUCUCGAGUGACCCACCCUGGAAUUGGGCUCCCUCUUCUCUGGGACUGGGUGUGUCACCUGAGAACCGCA